CACGUAGGGUGCGAGCGUUGUCCGGAAUUAUUGGGCGUAAAGAGCUCGUAGGCGGUGUGUCGCGUCGGCCGUGAAAACCUGCAGCUUAACUGUGGGCUUGCGGUCGAUACGGGCAUCACUGGAGUUCGGCAGGGGAGACUGGAAUUCCUGGUGUAGCGGUGAAAUGCGCAGAUAUCAGGAGGAACACCGGUGGCGGAAGGCGGGUCUCUGGGCCGAUACAUGAC
rnacentral:rRNA from 1 species